rnacentral:rRNA from 1 species
GGCACGACUCUCGGCAAUGGAUAUCUCGGCUCUUGCAUCGAUGAAGAGCGCAGCGAAAUGCGAUACGUGGUGCGAAUUGCAGAAUCCCGUGAACCAUCGAGUCUUUGAACGCAAGUUGCGCCCGAGGCCAGCCGGCUAAGGGCACGUUCGCCUGGGCGUCAAGU